ACCCCCCUCAUUUGUACUCCCGCGAGCAACCACCUCCAACCAGGGGGUGCCUGCAUGUGAUUUAUAUCCUAAACUUUUCCUUCCUCACCCUCAGGGGCAAGGGGCUGUCUCAGACCUCACCCUCCUUGGCAUCCGAGGCAUUUACACUGCUGACCUCCUCCUCACCCCCAAAAUCGCGCCCUCCCUCGGCGUACAGAAAAAUCUACCUCCUUGAUUCUGCCGCUGUACAUUGCACAUCGCUGUCACCUGCUCCUCACUCUAGCUGGCUGGUGCCCGGCCUCGCGGCCAUGUUGCCUGAAAGUGAGCUGGCCCAGAGGAGGGGUGCUGGAUGGUAAAAGGCAUUCUGAGGCGGCAACAGAGGGCAUCCGUUGUCAAUGGAAAAAGUAAGGUUGCUGCAGAACUUCUCAGGGCCUUUAUCGGCGGGCCAAUGUGCAAUGGCAAUCUCCACUGAAUGCAGGAGAACUACAGACGAGCAGCCCCGACCGGCUCUAUGUACCAGACAGCAGGCGCGUGUGCUGAGCCAGCCAGGAACGUGAGCAGUUCAGGGCUCUCCUUCUUCCUGCUUUCCACUGCAGCCCAGGCCCCCUGGGCUUCCACGGGACCCUGCCCUCUGCCCAGGUCUGCCUGUACCACAUCCUACCCCCCACAAUCCUCCCUGGGCAAUGCAGAGGAAAGAGAUUUGGCUGGGAGCAGAAGACUGGCCACCUGAAACCCUUGAACUGAUUAUUUAACUUCCACUGUUCCUCAAUUCCCUCACCUGUAAAAGGGGGGGGAAUACAGUACCCACCUUAGGGGUUCUACUGUGGAGCUUAAGUGCCUUCAUAUGGAGAGCGAGAGCAGGUGGAAGGUGCUUCGCACAGCGAAGAAAUAAGACCUUUCCAGACAGCAGAACUGGAUUCCCAGUCUGUCCAUCUCCCACCGUCUGUUUGUCCCUGACCACACUGCCCUCUUCCUCGGGAUCCUAUUUCCUCGUUCAUUCCUGGAGGCAGAUGAGCCACACCAGAAGGUUGGAGACUAUGUAUCACUUCUGCCUUGACCCCACAGCCUCCAAGGGUUGACCAGAUGUCCUAAAGACCUCCAAGGACUGAAAUCCUUGGGAUCAUCCCAGGGCCCCGUGGUCGGACCUCUGUAGCAGACUCUCAGAGGUUGUCGGUGCAACAGGACUUCAGAGACGGGCAACUUAUCUUCAGCACACAGUCCUUCAACUGGCCCAGUGAAGGCAUCCGUGUCCUCUUGGCAUCAGAGAGAUGGGGAGAGAGACACCAUUCUUCCCAGUGGCCUGGGACGAUCUCCAGCCUCCUGGGAUGAGAAGUUACCAGACUAAAAUAUUUCCCCGUGAGGGAAGGAGGGAAGUGCAUGGGAUUGCAAGUCUGCCCCGAGUGGCUUCUGAUGCGAUGACAGAGAGAGCACGCGGGCUUCCUGGGAACUCUGCAGCUUGUUCAAGGACUCUUCAAUCACAGACGCCAAGUGCAGGGAGCAAUAAACAAGAUCGCGAC